UACCAGCACCCCGAGUGGUCGGGACGAUUAUUGGGCCUAAAGCAUCCGUAGCCGGUCCUGCAAGUCUUCCGUUAAAUCCACCUGCUUAACAGAUGGGCUGCGGAGGAUACUACAAGGCUAGGAGGCGGAAGAGGCAAGCGGUACUCAGUGGGUAGGGGUAAAAUCCUCUGAUCCAUUGAAGACCACCAGUGGCGAAGGCGGCUUGCCAAUACGCGCUCGACGGUGAGAGAUGAAAGCUGGGGGGAGCAAACCGG
rnacentral:rRNA from 1 species